AGCCCAUGGUGUGGGUAAAUCCUCAUCAUUUCCUUAUAUCUCUCCCAUACUUCGAAAUGUGAUUCGUUAUCUUUUUGUCUAAAUCCAUUGAUUUGGAUUCUUAGCAU